rnacentral:rRNA from 1 species
CCCAGACAGCCAGGAUGUUGGCUUAGUAGCAGCCAUCAUUUAUAGAAAGCGUAAUAGCUCACUGGUCGAGUCGGCCUGCGCGGAAGAUGUAACGGGGCUAAACCAUGCACCGAAGCUGCGGCAGCGACACUGUGUGUUGUUGGGUAGGGGAGCGAUCUGUAAGCCUGUGAAGGUGUGUCGUGAGGCAUGCUGGAGGUAUCAGAAGUGCGUAUGCUGACAUAAGUAACGAUAAAGCGGGUGAAAAGCCCGCUCGCCGGAAGACCAAGGGUUCCUGUCCAACGUUAAUCGGGGCAGGGUGAGUCGACCCCUAAGGCGAGGCCGAAAGGCGUAGUCGAUGGGAAACGGGUUAAUAUUCCCGUACUUGGUGUUACAGCGAAGGGGGGACGGAGAAGGCUAUGUUGGCCGGGCGACGGUUGU